rnacentral:rRNA from 1 species
AACGAACGCUGGCGGCAUGCCUAACACAUGCAAGUCGAACGAGACCUUCGGGUCUAGUGGCGCAUGGGUUCGUAACGCGUGGGAACCUUCCCUUAUGUUUGGAAUAACUCCCCGACAGGGGUGCUAAUACCGGAUAAUGUCUUCGGACCAAAGAUUUAUCGCCUUUGGAUGUGCCCGCGUUGGAUUAGCUAGUUGGUAGGGUAAAAGCCUACCAAGGCGACGAUCCAUAGCUGGUCUGAGAGGAUGAUCAGCCACACUGGGACUGAGACACGGCCCAGACUCCUACGGGAGGCAGCAGUGGGGAAUAUUGGACAAUGGGCGAAAGCAUGAUCCAGCAAUGCCGCGUGAGUGAUGAAGGCCUUAGGGUUGUAAAGCUCUUUUACCCGGGAUGAUAAUGACAGUACCGGGAGAAUAAGCUCCGGCUAACUCCGUG